AGAUGUUUACAGCAAUGCUGAGUGUUUUCAUUUCAUUCAGUCAUAUCCCUGUUGUCCAUUUCACAGGAAACUGGGUUGCAGACAACUGAUCUAACUUGUCCAAUAUCACAUAGCUAGCAAUUGGUGAGGCAGGAUGCUUGCAAAAUCAUACUCCUCACCAUUAUGCCAUCUUACCUCUUAAAAGGCUUGUAUUCUCUGUUGAGGGAGGUGAAGAUGAGGAAGAGGGAAAUAGAAAUCUCUACUUUAAUUUGAAGGUAAUUGAACAAAUAAAGUUAAACUUCAUGAGUUAUCACAAAGAUGGAAGUUGUGCACUAGUAUCUCAAUGACUGUGUUUCCUGGAAAGAUGACUUUUGUGGAACAGGAUUAAAUUCUUCACAGGCUAAAAUUGGUUACAUGCAAGAUAGUCUUCACAGCAUCCUACGCAUAAACAAGUAAA
rnacentral:lncRNA from 1 species